UGAAAUACUCUCCCUCUCUCAAAAUUUGACAAACUCUUUACAUCUUCUAAACUUUCAUAUCAUCUCUCUCUCUCUCUCUCUCUCUCUCUCUGGCUCUCUCCACCUCCACAAACCCAGUCCCCGUAUUUUUCUUCAACUCUUAAAAAAAUCCCAUCCAAGACCCACGAAAUCUAAACUCUAACCAUCCCUCAAUUUCUCUUAGUUCUCACCCACCCAUCUUCCAAAGUCUAAUGUCUAAGCUCAAUCCGAAAUCCCACCCACAGACCCAACCAAAAUCGACCUUACCCAGCCAUCGAAAAUAAAAUCCCAAAUCUCACCCACCAUUGACAACCCCUCAUUCUCCCGUCUCUGAGACUAAAAUCCCACCCCAAAGCAGCCUUCCCUUCCUCAAUCAACAACCACAGCUUUGAUGAAGGCAAGUUAUUAAAUUUUUUGAUUUUAUCUGAUUUGAUUUUUUUUAUAAAGUUGGUCGGUUGAUCUAGAGUGGUUGUGUUUGUUUUUUAUUUAUUUUGGGUUUGAUUGGUUCCUUCCCUAGCUUUGGUCUUUUGCUGAUAAUUUUUUUCCCUCUCUCUCUCUCUCUCUCUCUCUCUCUAUAGGGUUUCACCCAAUUCGGAGAGACUAGUCUAAACCCACAAACGACUUAUUAGAUUUUGGGAACCCUUGCUUUUUUUUUUUUU
rnacentral:lncRNA from 1 species